UUGCCCAAAAUGGGGUGCUUGCUUACGCAGGCUGAGAUGAUACCCAGGAGUUUGGCUCCGCACCUGAUCCAGAUAAUGCUGGCGUAGGGAAAAUAAAGCUUUUGCUG
rnacentral:ncRNA from 14 species